CCCUGUUAGAGUAAAUGAUCAGGAGGUCAUAUAUUCCCCAUCCUUGGGGCAGGGGAGACACUGCACAUAGGCAGAAAGUCUCCUUUGAGGUCAAAAAGUAGAGGUCACUACCCCAGAAUAGGGGAUGCUGUUAUCAAAAUUUGGACUCUCUGUAUACCAGUACUGAGUCAAAUUGCAGAGACAAGAAUUUUGGGAGAGGUAGAAAAGGAUAGCUUUAGAUUGCUUUGCUAGGCAAAGGGAGACACCUCAGGAUUCUGCCUCAAAAACCAAUGUGCCUCAACUCCAGAAAACUUGAUGAAAAUGAGUUUGUCUUAAGGAUUUCUGCUGAUAGAAUUCACAGAUUUGAAUCAGAGAGAACAUCCACGUUUGGCAUGACCAUUUCCUCCAUACUUCCAAGGAAGCCAAGGACCUUCACUUGCCGGCUGAUCCCAGAGACUCAUUGGACGCCUGGGAAGUGACCAUCCUCUCACACAUCAGUUUUCCUACAACAUUAGGAGAUCUGGCACCUGUAUUGGACUCUAAAGUAUUAACAGAUUGACUGGUUUGAUCUUGCUGUCCACGGGACUCUCAAGAGUCUUCUCCAACACCACAAUUUGAAAGAAUCAGUUCUUCAGAAUUUAUGAAAAUGGGAGCAUAUUAAUUCCCACACAUAACUAUUGAGAAUAGAAUGCAACUGGAGACAACCUGCUUUUU